rnacentral:miRNA from 1 species
UGUAGUCUCUAAUGUUCGAUCAGA